rnacentral:rRNA from 1 species
CCUACGGGAGGCAGCAGUAGGGAAUUUUCGGCAAUGGGGGGAACCCUGACCGAGCAACGCCGCGUGAACGAAGAAGUUAUUCGUAAUGUAAAGUUCUUUUAACAGGGAAGAAAGAGAAAUUUGAUGGUACCUGAAGAAUAAGCUCCGGCUAACUACGUGCCAGCAGCCGCGGUAAUACGUAGGGAGCGAGCGUUAUCCGGAAUUAUUGGGCGAAAGGGGUGGGUAGAUGGCAUAGUAAGUCUUUUGUAAAAAUGCUGGGCUCAACCCAGUAGGGCAAAAGAUACUGCAAAGCUGGAGUAUGACAGAGGCAAGUGGAACUACAGGUGUAGCGGUAAAAUGCGUAAAUAUAAGUAAGAACACCAGUGGCGAAGGCGGCUUGCUGGGUCGAUACUGACAUUGAGGCACGAAAGCGUGGGGAGCAAACAGGAUUAGAUACCCCGGUAGUC